AGGGAUGACUGGUGACAGAGUGAGGGAAUGACUGGUGACAGAGUAAGAGAGGGGGUGAAUAGUGACCAGAGUGAGGAAGGGGGUGACACAUUGGUAGUCACCCCAUUCCUCCCUCUGUCACUAAUCACCACCUCCCUCACUCUCACUAGUCACCCCUUCCCUCCCUCACUCUGUCACUAGUCACACCCUCCCUCUCUCUGUCACUAGUCACACCCU